rnacentral:snoRNA from 1 species
UCACUGUGAUGAAGUGUAUACCGCCAUUCGUAGUUUCCACCAGAGGUUUAUCGACCAAAGAUGGUUUAAUUCUUCCUUGGAUGUCUGAGUGA